CCCUUAGAUGUUCUGGGCGGCCCGCGCACUACAAUGGCGCUUUCAGCGAGUUCCUAUGUUGAAUUUUCCUUGGUAUUCUUGGAAGCGGCGUCUUGACUUGGGAUAGAUCCUUGUAAUUGUUGGUUUUGAACGAGGAAUUCCUUGUAAUCGCGGUUGAUCAGCUCGCGUUGAAUACGUCCCUGCCCUUUGUACACACCGCCCGUCGCACCUACCGAUUGGAUGGUCCGGUGAAGCCUCGGGAUUGUGGUUCUUGCCGCUUUAUUGUGGCGUGACCGCGAGAACUUGUCUAAACCUUAUCAUCUAGAGGAAGGUGAAGUCGUAACA
rnacentral:rRNA from 1 species